CCCUCCCCCAACCCUCCAUCCCCGAGAUCCCUGCUGUACCCUCGGAGGUUGGUGUCAAAAAAGGCGCUGGCCCAGCGAGGACGGAACACCCUGAUCAGAGCGGCCAGGGACACGUGCCACCCCCACGCUGCACAAGGGGCUUUCCGAAGGCUGCGCGUAGACCCCGGGUUCUCCCCUAGUAAGAAGCAGAUUAUUUCAAAGUAUCUGAAGGCAGGAGUUGGGGGAGGGGACGGGGAGCCAGAAGCCUGCGGGUGAGGCUCCGCCCCAUCUGGCCUUGCCCUCCAGGGGAGGCCUGCCAGGGUCCACACCUCACCAAAAUGCUCGCCUAUGGGAACCCAAAGGACAAUGGCAGGAGGGAGCAGAUCUCCAAGGCCAGAAUGUUGGCACGACUGUGCUUCAGAGUCCAAUGAGUGCAUCCCUCUGCCUCUGGCCGCCGAUGCCAGGCCUAGACACCUCCAGAGGAGAUGGGAAACAGCUGGGCACCACCCUUCAAGUAAUAAUUACCUUCUCGGAACUCGAAGACAAUCCAGUUGCUCCUUGGCCUUCUCUUUCUCGGCUUAAAUCAUCCAUCCCAGCCCUUUAAUCAUCCCUGAUCCUUUGAUCACUUCUGAUGACUGUGUCCAGAUUGGGGCCCCGGGACUUUAACAAGGCCUGAUCCCAAUUGGAUGGGGGAGGUCUCCCCCCCAACCCCCUUUCCCAGGGCAUGAGCAGUCAGGGGUGGGGUCUGGACAGACAAUCCUGGCUGGGGCUCUGGGCAGAUAAAACAGCAGCAGCAGCAUAGAGAAGAAAAUGAGCUUAAAUUUGGUGAGAGAAAAAGAACCGCGAAGCCUCCAAAUUCUGUGAUGGUAACGCUCUCCCAAGGCCAUGGGCGAGGGCGAGACCGUUUGUAGGCCUGGCCUAAGGGGAAGGUAUAAUUUGGGGAACAUCAGAGGGGCCACCUACCUCGCAGGUCCACCAUGAGACAUGUAAUGGAGUGAAUGGUGAGCCCUCAAAAGAUAAGUCCAUUCCAAACCUUGGAAUGAGAACUGGCUUGGUGUAAGGAUCUCUGCAGAUGUAAUGAAGCUGAAGGUCUUCAGCUUCAUGGUAAAGAACCCUCGUGCCAAUACAGGAGACAGAAGAGGUGCGGGUUUGAUCCCUGGGUGGGGAAGAUCCCCUGGAGGAAGACAUGGCAACCCACUCCAGUAUUCUUGCCUGGGAGAUCCCAUGGACAGAGGAGCCUGAUGGACUACAUACAAUCCAUGGGUCACAAAGAGUCAGAUAUACCUGAAGCAACUUAGCAUGCACACACACAAGGGCCUUGAGAUAAAAUCACCCUGAGUUAGAGUGGGCCCUGAACGCAACAGCCAGUGUCCAAAAAGAAGAUGCGGAGGCCCAGAGAAAAGGCCCACAUGAAGUCAGAGGCAGGGAUGGGAGUGAUGCAGCCACAAAGCAAGUAACAGUUGGGACCCUGGAAGCUGGAAGCCACAAGGUAAGACUUCCCCAGAGCCUUCAGAGAGAGCUUGCUCUGGGGCCUCCUUGCUGGUCCAGCAGCUAAGAAUCUGCCUGCCAAUGCAGGGGACACCAGUUCAAUUCCUGGUCCGGGAAGAUCCCACCUAACACGGGCCAGCUAAGCCCCUGUACCGUAACUACUGAGCCCUCGCCCUAGAGCUGAGAGCUGCAGCCACUGAAGCCCACAUGCCCUAGAGCCUGUGCCUAGAAGCCACUGCAAUGAGAAGCCUGCGCACGGCAACUAGAGAGCAGCCCCCACUCACCGCAGCUAGAGAGAGCCAGUGUCAGCAACAAACAUCCAGUGAGCUAAUAAAUAAAUAUAUAUAUUUUAAAAAAAAAGAACGCUUGCUAUGCUGACACCUUGAUUUCAGACUUCUCAUCUCCAAUUGUGAGAGAAUAAAU